ACAUGGGUUUACUUUAAUAGGAAGUCUUUAAUAGCCAGUUGGUGACAUUAGCUAUUUGGGAUCCCGAACCCUCUCACAGGAUGAGCUUUUAAGCACAAAAACAAAACAACAACAACCAUAAUCUGUGUUGACAUGCUUCAGUUAACCAAAGCAGUCAGAUGUAGAACUACAGAAGACAAAAGGCAAGGUUAGUCCAUUUAGAGACUUUCCCAGACUACAGACUUGUAUGGAUUCAGUCUUUGUUUUCUGUCUCUAUCCAGAGAUUUAUGACCUAAACAAUACUUCCAUCAUGGAGUCAGUUAUAGGUCUGGGUGCCUACUAAGGUCUGGGGUUCUGUGACACUAUGAAGAGUGAGAAGCCAUUCUGCUCUUGGGUAUGCAGAUUUAAAAGCUACUCAACAUCUACCAAAAACAACACCAAAAGCAAAAUAAAAAGCUUUUCAACUGAAAGAACAAAACUUCUCUUUCCAAAUAUUUUAUUCUUGUUGCCAUUCAAGUACCAUAAAAAUAAUCAUCUUUUAUUCUAUAAAUGUCUCAGAAAAUGAGCAUUGUAAAAUCUCAUGUAUGUAGCUGGGUGCCGUGCUAUGUGCCCUUAAAAGCACCACUCUGGAGGCAGAGGCAGGUCGAUAUCAGUGAGUUCAAGAUGAUACUCUUUAACACAUUCAUUUCCAGGCCAGCCUGAGCUACACCGGAAGAUUCCAUUUUUUAAAAUUCAUAAAACUCUUAGCUUUAUUUGUAUAAAGAAUAUUUUUAAACUCUUUGGAGCUGUGAUACACCUCAGGAAUCCCAUGUAUUUAUUUGGAGCAAAUACACCAGCUGUCAAUAAGAGGCCUGAAAGACACAGAAAUGUUUCAAAACCGAGAUUCAAUUGUGAUACAAUAUCAUCAUCUAUAUACAUAAAUAAACAGAUACAAACUUUCAAGUAAAACUCAGACUUAUGACAGACCUUUAUAAAUUGGAUCUAUCCCUUCACCAAUUCCAAAUCUUCAAAUAAGUUUAAUGUGCUGAAUUCCGAGACCCAAGUGCUACUUGCAGUUUAUGAUGAAAGGCGUUUAUCCGUUCUUUUUGAAUUGGCCAGUUCAAGAUGCAAUGAGAUUUAAACAUUCCUCUUCGCAAGCAGAGUGCAUGGUUUAGUUUGUAAUCUGGAAUAUUCUGGAGAAAAAUCAGUAUAAUUGAAUCCAGAUUUUGCUCGAUAGCUUGCUGAACCGCGUGAUGCACCUUGAAU
rnacentral:lncRNA from 1 species